rnacentral:rRNA from 1 species
GGGUAAAUUGGCUGUGCUAAGGUAGCAUAAUCAUUUGUUAUUUAAUUGGUAGCUGGAAUGAAAGGUUAAACUAGCUUACUUGGUUUGUAAAGCUACAUAGGAAAUUUAAGUUAAGGUAAUAAUUCCUUAAUUUUCUAGGGGACGAUAAGACCCUAGAAGCUUGAUAAAUGAGUAUUUUUUUAGUGGCGAGUCGAAAUUUAUUUUACUGGGGCGGUGUUAGUAUUUAAACUACUAGUUAGACAGGCAGAUCUUUUAUAUAAAGAAAAAGCGGAUAAGUUACUCUAGGGUUAACAGUGUGAUAUACUUGGAGAGGCCUUAUUGAUAAGUAUGAUUACAACCUCGAUGUU